rnacentral:rRNA from 1 species
AACGAACGCUGGCGGCAUGCCUAACACAUGCAAGUCGAACGAGACCUUCGGGUCUAGUGGCGCACGGGUGCGUAACGCGUGGGAACCUGCCCUUAGGUUCGGAAUAACUCCCCGAAAGGGGAGCUAAUACCGGAUAAGGUCUUCGGACCAAAGAUUUAUCGCCUUUGGAUGGGCCCGCGUUGGAUUAGCUAGUUGGUAGGGGAAAAGCCUACCAAGGCGACGAUCCAUAGCUGGUCUGAGAGGAUGAUCAGCCACACUGGGACUGAGACACGGCCCAGACUCCUACGGGAGGCAGCAGUGGGGAAUAUUGGACACUGGGCGAAAGCCUGAUCCAGCAAUGCCGCGUGAGUGAUGAAGGCCUUAGGGUUGUAAAGCUCUUUUACCCGGGAUGAUAAUGACAGUACCGGGAGAAUAAGCUCCGGCUAACUCCGUG